CCUUCGGGGUACACGAGCGGCGAACGGGUGAGUAACACGUGGGUGAUCUGCCUCGCACUCUGGGAUAAGCCUGGGAAACUGGGUCUAAUACCGGAUAUGACCUUACAUCGCAUGGUGUUUGGUGGAAAGAUUUAUCGGUGCGAGAUGGGCCCGCGGCCUAUCAGCUUGUUGGGUGGGGUAAUGGCCUACCAAGGCGACGACGGGUAGCCGGCCUGAGAGGGCGACCGGCCACUCUGGGACUGAGACACGGCCCAGACUCCUACGGGAGGCAGCAGUGGGGAAUAUUGCACAAUGGGCGAAAGCCUGAUGCAGCGACGCCGCGUGAGGGAUGACGGCCUUCGGGUUGUAAACCUCUUUCGACAGGGACGAAGCGCAAGUGACGGUACCUGUAGAAGAAGCACCGGCCAACUACGUG
rnacentral:rRNA from 1 species